GGGAAAAUCUAAUUGAAGGUAAACCCUAUUUUAUACCUAAUCUAUGUUUUGGGUUUUGAUCAACAUGUAUAUACCUGCAUAUUCUUGUAGUUUAAAUCCUAAUUGGUUCAUAGGAGAAUGGAUUUUAACCUAGCAAAUUCGUCCAUCUUUGGGACAUGUCUCAGUUAGAGUUUGAACAUAAUUGAAUCUGUCCUGUUGUUAGCGAAUUUUUCUCAUAGACUUUCCGACCUUGUAAUUUUCUGAAAUUUUUACUGGAGAUGGAUAUGCAUGUCUAGUUUGUUGGGUAAAAUUUUCAGAAUUUAUUUCGAAGAGGGGAAAAAGUUAAAAAUCGCGCACCAAACUGCUGCUGUGAAACUCGCAUUGCUGACUGCACUGACACAAGUUGGGAAAACAGUCAUAUCUCCUAGCUCGAGACUCGAAAUCACAUUCCGCUUGUUUUGCUAGAAACUAGACACGUAGAGCUUUCCAAAGACGCAACCCGUGCUCUGUGGUUUUGCCUGAGCAAUAACAGAACUGCUGUUAAAGUUGACCCCAAAUCUGUCUCUGCACCAGUUUUGAUAUUAUGUUAAAUUUUAAUUGCGAGGCCGUAAUAAGGUUACCCGAACUCCGUUUUUUAUGAAUGACCUGUCGAUUCGAAGAGGAAGAAGUUUACUUUUCAAUGGUUAAAGUGUCUUUCUUCAAUUGACGAUUAUGUUUCGGUUACGGUCAGAACAAUACAUGUUGGUCAUGGUCUAAGCCUUAUUCUUGAGAAUUCUUGUAUCAAAUCUCAUUGAAUCAUCUUUUGAGCAUUGAAGCACAUCACCCAUCAUUUUUAUUGCAUUGGUCUCAUGCAGUAUCAUACUAGGGUUGGAGAUUAAAAAGAAGAUCAUAUGCUAGACUUAUUGAUACAUUUUACUUGCAUUUUAACACGAGUUGGAGUAUGAAAUAUACUAAGUUUAGUGUCAUUCAUAUUUUAGGAUCGGGGGACGAGUCUCCACCUCAAGGUUGAGAAGGAGGCGUUUCGCUUUUGUCUUUUGAAUCUCUAAGGUAACUGAAGUAGAGUUUUGGUCCACGACUGGUCUGACAGGCUGUAGGAGUGGAGAGGAGGGGCGACUUGGUGUCCUUUUGGCGUAUACAUUUUGUAAUAUCAAUUUUUGGAGAGUUGUCGUACCGUAUGUGGAUGCAACUCAUCUUGUAUAGUUCACUUGUAAAUUUUAUUUUGGAAGCCGGUUGUAAUAUACUUAGUCGACAUUGUCUUGCGCUUAUGGAACGAAUUUCAUUAAGGUUGAUAUUAAGCUUUCAUUAGACUGAUUAUGUUAAUC